AGUGAACGCUGGCGGUAGGCCUAACACAUGCAAGUCGAACGGCAGCACAGGAGAGCUUGCUCUCUGGGUGGCGAGUGGCGGACGGGUGAGGAAUACAUCGGAAUCUACUCUGUCGUGGGGGAUAACGUAGGGAAACUUACGCUAAUACCGCAUACGACCUACGGGUGAAAGCAGGGGACCUUCGGGCCUUGCGCGAUUGAAUGAGCCGAUGUCGGAUUAGCUAGUUGGCGGGGUAAAGGCCCAACAAGGCGACGAUCCGUAGCUGGUCUGAGAGGAUGAUCAGCCACACUGGAACUGAGACACGGUCCAGACUCCUACGGGAGGCAGCAGUGGGGAAUAUUGGACAAUGGGCGCAAGCCUGAUCCAGCCAUACCGCGUGGGUGAAGAAGGCCUUCGGGUUGUAAAGCCCCUUUGUUGGGAAAGAAAUCCAGCUGGCUAAUACCCGGUUGGGAUGACGGUACCCAAAGAAUAAGCACCGGCUAACUUCGUGCCAGCAGCCGCGGUAA
rnacentral:rRNA from 1 species